UUCAGCCAAUAAACUGUAGGACUUGCUCCUGAUUGGAGGAGAGCAGCGUACUCGGCGUGUGGGCAGCCGAGUUGGGAUUGGCAGAGGAGGACUAUAAAGGAGGAGAGAGACGGCAUGCACCAGGAACAUCUAAGGGGAACAUCUAUCUGAAGGAACACCUGUGCAGCCCCCGAGAGAGCCGGCGGGCGGUGUGCCGCUCCCCCGCGGAAGUGGGGAAAGUGGCCAGGGGGAACCGCCCUUCCACGGAGGUGGAAGGGACAGUAGCCAACCCGGGAAGAACCAGCAGCAAACCCGGGGAGGGCCGAGCAGACGAAAGAACAGCGCAGGGUCCUGUGUCGUUCCUCCACGAAGACGGGGAGCGACAUAAUGGUGCCGUGACUCGGAUAUGAAGCCUAGGCAGGGUUUAGUGUCGUUCCUCCAUGAAGAGGGGGAGCGACAUAAUGGUGCCGUGACUCGGAUAUGAAGCCUAGGCAGGGUUUAGUGUUGUUCCUCCACGAAGAGGGGGAGCGACACGCUGUCAUAUAGAAAAUCAAAACACAGCUGACAGACGGGGACAGGCUGCAAAUGUGGCAACAGACAAGGGGCCACUUCUCUUUCUAUGAAGGGUUCCUGUAAAUUUCUAAGAUAAUCAUGUGGAAAUUUGCACACACAUGUGUGCAGUGACUUUUGAAAAUAUAUAAAAUAGGCCGCCACCAAGAGCAGUGCCAAGAAAAAAAAAAAAGCUCCAUAAAGCAUCCCAGGAAGACUGACUAGCACGGACAUUCCCGUACCUGCGAGGGGUACCCUUUCCCGCCCUGUGUCCUUGCCCCAGUAAAAACAUCACAAAAUGCUAAAAAAAAAAAAAAUAUGUAAAAUACUCAGUCUCCUAAUCAGAGAGGCCCAAGUUAAGACAACAAGUCCAAGUCGCCUUUUGCCUCGACGUUCUCCGGAAAGCAAGAUGGGCCACGCAGCUCCCAAGGAGCCACCUGCGAAAAUCCAGCCGGGAUUCUCUCUUUCACUGGGUCUGCUCAAGCACGCACGGUCACGUCCAGAGACAGGACCACAGCCUGUGCUGGGUGUCAGUUUCAUUAAGUGGGACCAAGGGAUUUUCCUUGAAUGGAUUCUCCAGGCAUCAGAGCUAUGGAGAAUCAUGCCAGCAUUUUGUACAUAGAACAAAAAAAUUAAAACCACAAAAACAAGCUAAUAUUGCAAGUUAUGCCCAUGAAUGGGCACCCAUAUGGGAUGCCAGUGCCACAGGCUUAGCCCAUUACACCACGGCGCCAGCCCCACCUUUUGAAUUUUGGUCUAUGUGAAUAAGGGACUAAGAGAGAAAGUUGUUCCUGAGCAAUGAGAAUCUUGCGGUGACCAAUAUCUGAAAAUGAAUCUAGAAGCAACUUUGGAUCUGGAUAACGUGUAAAAGCCAGCCAAAUAGGGAAAGGUUCGACUGCCACGAAUGGGGACAGCAGGUGAAUCUAGGGAGGACUCAGAAGAAGAGAACUGGAGUGGAAGUCGGGAGCUUCCUCAAGAUUGGGUAGGCAGCGGUGAUGAGGACGCUGUUGGAAACGUGGCUGGGAACGAAGGCCCUACUGCUGGGGUCUUGGGACCAAGCAGCAAGAUUUUGGAAAUGGGAGGAAAAGGCAUCCUUGCUCCACAGUUGAGAGAACUCAGUGGCCCCGGGUCGAUGCUCUAGGGCUUCAUGGAGGUCAGACCGUGAGAGUGGUGAUCUAACAUACGGAGGCUGCUGGGGUCCGCGGGGGACCCAGAUGCUGCUCGGGCAGCCACCUGGAGGCCCCAAGCGGUGGGCCUUGGUGGCACACCAUGAUAUCAGAGGGUGUGGCAGACAGCCUGGAGGCCCAGACAAAAACUUGGUGCAAGGGCACAGAGUCCAUGGCAGGGCGGCGUCGAGUGGAGCCGUGGGAACAAGGCCACCCCAGUGUCCCCGGUAGAAUUCCUAGUGGCGCCGUGGGGGCAGGACUGCCUCUGGGACCCCAGCCCUGCAGAUUUACCAUCGUACAUCUGCAGCCUGGGAGAGCUGCAGGCAUGAGAGGCCAACUUCCGGGAGACAGCUAGGCGGGCUGAGCCCUGCCAGGCUACAAAGCUUGGGCUGCCUGAGGCCAUGGAGGGCAGAGGGGGCAAACCCUUCAGUGUGGCCAGGAUGGGAGAAUGUGGAGUCUUCUCAGCUUUCCCACUUGAUGUUGUUUGCCCUGUUGAGUUCCAGACUUAACUUGGCACCAGCUACGCUUUCUUCUUGUCUAUUUCUUCUUUACGGGGUGAGAAUGUCUAGCCCGUGUGUCCCCCGGUCAUCUUGGGAGGCAUGUAACUUGUUAACUUCACAGGCUUGCCAUGAAAGAGAAUGUACCCCUGGGUGAAUUGUGUCCCGAGUCUCACCCUGGUCCCAUUCAGAUGAGACUCUGGGCUUCGGAGUUGGUGCUGGACUGAAUUAAGGCUUUCUGGCCACUGGGACGGGAUGAAUGUGUUUUGUUGGUGACAGAGGGCAUGCAUUGGCCAGCCAAGGCAGAACGCUAGGGUCCAAAUCUGUCCCCCCAAGUUCAUGUGUUGGGAACUUAAUUAACCCCAGGGCAACAGUGUUGCGAGAUGGAACCUUAAGAAGUGGUUAGGUCAUAAGGGCUCUGACCUCAUGAGUGGCUUCUUGUCUUUGCUGGGAGAGUGGGUUCGUCAUUGUGAGAGCUUUGUGGUAAACACAAGUUUGGCCCCUGCCCCAGUCUUCUCCCUUCUGCCAUGGGAUGACACAGCAAGCUCUUUGCCAGAGGGGCUCCCACUGAUCGUGGCCUCCCCAGCCUCUAGGACUAUUAGAAUUAGAUCCACAUUCUAGAUCACCAGUCUGCGGGACCCUGUUAUGGUAGCACCCAACGAACCAAGAGGCUCCCAACCCAACCUUUGAUUCCCACCCCUAUCAUUAGUAUUACCUUUUUCAUUUCCCUGCAUGUUUAUUUUUUCAGGUGAAAUUCAGAAUCAUUUUGUCAAGUUCCUCUUAAAAUCUUGUUGCUGUUUCACCCCAAAUCACAUUAAAUGCAUGGGCUAAUUGAUGGGGAAACCAUAUUUUUUCAAUACUGAGGCUUCUUAUUCUCUUAUCCAAGACACAGUGUAUUGUUCUGCUGUUUCCAAGGGUUCUUCCAUGUUCCUAUUUCCAUACCCCCAUACACUUGACCUAGCUCUAGUAAAGUCUACCAUGGGCAUUUGAUCGUACAUUGCUACUGUCAGUGGGAUUGUCUCCUACCCCCAGUUUAGUUUUAAUUGAUAUUUCUGCAUAGGAAAAAGUCUGGGUUCUUUUCAUAUUAGUUCUACAAUUAAUCACUUGCUGAAAAUCUGAGUUUUCCACUGUAUUCCUUCAUUUUCCAGAUACUUAUCAUCCGCAGAUAAUCUGACCUCCCCCCUUCCCAGUGCUGUCCCUCGUGGCUUUCCCUGGCUAAUCACAUUGGCUUCGUGUUGCCAAUAACGCUAAAUAAUCGCAAUACAAAGGGGAUGCGGCUUUCCCAGUAGUUUUAGCCUCCAUUGGAAAAUCUGUACCAAUGGACUUGUGCAAGUGACCCACAGAUCGACACUGCGGGACAUCGCUGGCUUGUGUGAGAAACUUUUACCAGCUCCGAAAGGCUGCUGAUUUUUAUGAUCCUGAAAGAACUCGAGGUCUGCAUCAGAAGCCAGAGCUGGGUCUCACAGCCGGGUACUCGGGGUCGUCUUCAACCACAGGCUCGUCGCCUACCCUAGAGCAAGAAGACACAACACUCAGGCCUUCUCUCCUCCCCUCCUGGGUCACAGGAGCAAGACAGUGUUCAAGGACAUUUAAACCAAGCCAGAGGUGGUUGAAAAUGUAUUUAUUUUUCUUCAAACAAUCUUUAUCAAGCAAUAAAUAAAAACAGACAUGUUGACUUUUCUAAAAAAAAAAAAAUGCCGUAGACUAUAUACAUCCUACAGAAGUACAGGCAUCUCAAAUGUAGAAAUGACAUCACUCC